CUUAUACUGUUAGUUGAAAGUGGAAACCUGCAGACAGUGCAGAAGUACUUUGAAUAAAAAAUAGUUUGAUUUUAGCUUCCACUCAUUUAGCGUUAAAAGUCGAUAUUUUGCCUCGCCAAGUUGCCGUCUCAUAAAGUGAAGCUUCAACACAGUCCACAUUCAUCAUCCACCGCUGCUGGAGGUGAUUAGAAGAAGGAACGCGCCAUAAAUUACAUUUUACUUCUAUUGACUUGUGGAUUCUCUGCUGAUACUGAAAGCAAACUGCUAUCAUCAUGAGCAAGGACGAAGCUGGUGCUGCUGCUUCGGGACAUAUUAUUACGGAAGCUUCAGUAGAGGAGAUACUAAAAAACUUAAAUUUCGAUGCCACCAGAUUGCCAGAUGAUAGGUAUAGUGGCUUGGUUGAUGCGACUUUUGGAAGAGUAAUCGCUGUAAACCAAAAUAUGGAGUAUGAUCCGAAGAUAGAGCCGGAAAACCUCUUCGACGUGGCCACUGCUGUUGCCAACGGACAGAUCAGCCCGAUUGCUGGAGAACUUCUGAAGGAACUCCGGGAAGUCGCCAAAUACCGCAACAUGAAAACUAUAAAGAUUGGAGCGGAUUACUUUGCGCUCAUUGAGCCGGUCGUAAGGACCUGGAAUGCACAGUUGGACGUGGAGAUGGAUCGGUUCAGGUCGAUUGUUGACUUGGUGCAGAAGUCGCCAUACAUGGGAUUACAAGGAUCACAACCCCAGGCCCUGAGGAUGGCAAACUUCCCUGGCUAUUUGUACAUAGCAUUGCGCCAUCAUCAGGCAUCACUGACUGGAAAUGGAGCCAAGGGGGUGGAACAGGCCAUAAAAUGCGUUGCUAAGAAGAUGCAGCCCAAUAGGAUCAGGAUUUUUGACGCCUAUGCUAGUCUCUUGGAAAUUGUACUAAACAACGCUUCUCGCUCAACUGGGGAAAAAUCCUCUCCUAUGUAAUCUAAAAUCAGAGACUUCUGGGGAACACAUUAUUAUUAAUUUCUUUUUAUUUAAAUUGCCAAUUCAUUAUUUUUGUAUUUUCCACAUCAUAGAUAGUUAUGUAGAACAGAUUAAUUCCAGUAUUCCCAGAAAAUUCAUCAAUUGGAUAAGGGUUUGAAUCAAAUAAAAUGUAUCAAUAUUCUGUGUUUGAACUAAUAAAGAUUAUUAGCCAAUAACAACAACAA